rnacentral:piRNA from 7 species
GUCGGGGUUUCGUACGUAGCAGAGCAG